GUUUGGCCCUUAGCCCACGGCCGCUCGUCUUCUUUCGCUCUUCCGAGUAUGAGCAAAGCGUGCAGUCUGUGGGUGGCUUGGCUUUCUCGAGAUUUGCUCCCUGCCAGAGUGCGGACUGGACCCUGGCCUGCCUAGCUUAAAAAGGACUUACUCUCCGUUAAUGUGAAGGAAAUCUCCACCUAAGCCUUCCGGGGCAGGAGUUUGUGGCCCACAUAAGAGCCUGGCUCCCGACCCUCCCAAAGGAUAGAGGAGCAGUAAUCACACGGUCGUCCUCUUUUCCUUCUGAUGAGUUUUCAAAUUAGCCAUUCCCAGCUCAAGAAUAUCACUGCUAAUGUUCUUCAAAUGGCCAGCUCCAAGCUUCCAAGUGGAUUGUACAUUGUUGAAAUGCUUGCUGAUUCCAGCUACCCAGUAUCCUCAAACUGUGUCCCCUCAGGGAAGGUAACCUGAUUAUAGAGCCUGAAUUCAACAUCAUGGAAUCAAAGAAGUCUGCUGCAAGAAAAGCCUAUAAAUUAUUCUAAAAUAAAGUAAUCCUCAUCUGUAGAGAAAAGAGAUUGUUGGGUUAAGUAGUCCUUAAAGUUACUUUUCCACUUCUCAG
ensembl:lncRNA